AACGAACGCUGGCGGCAGGCCUAACACAUGCAAGUCGAGCGAGGACUUCGGUUCUAUCGGCGGACGGGUGAGUAACGCGUGGGAAUGUUCCCUUCUCUACGGAAUAGCCCUGGGAAACUGGUAGUAAUACCGUAUACGCCCUUUUGGGGAAAGAUUUAUCGGAGAAGGAUCAGCCCGCGUUGGAUUAGGUAGUUGUUAGGGUAAUGGCCUACCAAGCCGACGAUCCAUAGCUGGUUUGAGAGGAUGAUCAGCCACACUGGGACUGGGACACGGCCCAGACUCCUACGGGAGGCAGCAGUGGGGAAUCUUAGAAAAUGGGGGCAACCCUGAUCGAGCCAUGCCGGGUGAGUGAUGAAGGCCUUAGGGUUGUAAAGCUCUUUCAGCUGGGAAGAUAAUGACGGUACCAGCAGAAGAAGCCCCGGCUAACUCCGUG
rnacentral:rRNA from 1 species